rnacentral:piRNA from 1 species
UGGAAAAACAUGUUCUUGCCUUGUG